UACUCCUACGGGAGGCAGCAGUAGGGAAUCUUCCGCAAUGGACGAAAGUCUGACGGAGCAACGCCGCGUGAGUGAUGAAGGUUUUCGGAUCGUAAAGCUCUGUUGUUAGGGAAGAACAAGUACCGUUCGAAUAGGGCGGUACCUUGACGGUACCUAACCAGAAAGCCACGGCUAACUACGUGCCAGCAGCCGCGGUAAU
rnacentral:rRNA from 1 species